CCUACGGGGCGCAGCAGUGGGGAAUAUUGGGCAAUGGAGGAAACUCUGACCCAGCAACGCCGCGUGAAUGAUGAAGGUCUUCGGAUUGUAACGUUCUUUUCUAAGGGAAGAAGAAAGUGACGGUACCUUAGGAAUAAGCCUCGGCUAACUACGUGCCAGCAGCCGCGGUAAUACGUAGGAGGCGAGCGUUAUCCGGAAUGACUGGGCGUAAAGGGUGCGUAGGUGGUUUGGCAAGUUAGUAGCGUAACUCCAAGGCUCAACCUUGGAACUACUACUAAAACUGUUGGACUUGAGGGCAGGAGGGGCAACCGGAAUUCCUAGUGUAGCGGUGGAAUGCGUAGAGAGUAGGAGGAACACCAGUGGCGAAGGCGGGUUGCUAGACGGUAACUGACACUGAGGCACGAAAGCGUGGGGAGCAAACAGGAUUAGAUACCCCUGGAGUC
rnacentral:rRNA from 1 species